rnacentral:rRNA from 1 species
CACGUAGUUAGCCGUGGCUUUCUGAUUAGGUACCGUCAAGACGUGCACAGUUACUUACACAUUUGUUCUUCCCUAAUAACAGAGUUUUACGAUCCGAAGACCUUCAUCACUCACGCGGCGUUGCUCCGUCAGGCUUUCGCCCAUUGCGGAAGAUUCCCUACUGCUGCCUCCCGUAGGAGUCUGGACCGUGUCUCAGUUCCAGUGUGGCCGAUCACCCUCUCAGGUCGGCUACGUAUCGUUGCCUUGGUAAGCCAUUACCCCACCAACUAGCUAAUACGGCGCGGGUCCAUCUAUAAGUGAUAGUAAAACCAUCUUUCACUUUAGAACCAUGCGGUUCUAAAUAUUAUCCGGCAUUAGCCCCGGUUUCCCGGAGUUAUUCCAGUCUUAUAGGUAGGUUACCCACGUGUUACUCACCCGUCCGCCGCUAACGUCAAAGGAGCAAGCUCCUUAUCUGUUCGCUCGACUUGCAUGUAUUAGGCACGCCGCCAGCGUUCAUCCUGAGCCAGGAUCAAACUCU